AGCAGUCGCCGCGGUAAUACGUAUGUCACAAGCGUUAUCCGGAUUUAUUGGGCGUAAAGCGCGUCUAGGUGGUUAUGUAAGUCUGAUGUGAAAAUGCAGGGCUCAACUCUGUAUUGCGUUGGAAACUGUGUAACUAGAGUACUGGAGAGGUAAGCGGAACUACAAGUGUAGAGGUGAAAUUCGUAGAUAUUUGUAGGAAUGCCGAUGGGGAAGCCAGCUUACUGGACAGAUACUGACGCUGAAGCGCGAAAGCGUGGGUAGCAAACAGGAUUAGAUACCCGAGUAGUCCCUGUCUCUUAUACA
rnacentral:rRNA from 1 species